UACGUAGGGUGCGAGCGUUGUCCGGAAUUACUGGGCGUAAAGAGCUCGUAGGCGGUUUGUCGCGUCGACCGUGAAAACCUGGGGCUCAACUCCGGGCCUGCAGCCGAUACGGGCAGACUAGAGUUCGGCAGGGGAGACUGGAAUUCCUGGUGUAGCGGUGAAAUGCGCAGAUAUCAGGAGGAACACCGGUGGCGAAGGCGGGUCUCUGGGCCGAUACUGACGCUGAGGAGCGAAAGCGUGGGGAGCGAACAGG
rnacentral:rRNA from 1 species